ensembl:snRNA U1 U1 spliceosomal RNA
AUACUUACCUGGAAGAGGAGAUACCAUGAUUACGAAGGUGGUUUUCCCAGGGCGAGGCUUAUCCAUUGCACUCCGGAUGUGCUGACCCCUGCAAUUUCCCCAAAUGUGGGAAACUCAGCUGCAUAAUUUGUGGUAGUGGGGGACUGUGUUUGAGCUUUCCCCUG